UGAGGAAUAUUGCGCAAUGGGGGCAACCCUGACGCAGCAACGCCGCGUGGAGGAUGAAGGUCUUCGGAUUGUAAACUCCUUUUCUUGGGGAAGAGAACGGACGGUACCUGAGGAAUAAGUCACGGCUAACUACGUGCCAGCAGCCGCGGUAAUACGUAGGUGGCAAGCGUUAUCCGGAAUUACUGGGCGUAAAGCGCAUGCAGGCGGCUUGGUAAGUCUGACGUGAAAGCUCCUGGCUUAACCGGGAGAGGUCGUUGGAGACUGCUGAGCUUGAGGCGAUGAGAGGGGUGCGGGAAUUCCCGGUGUAGUGGUGGAAUGCGUGGAUAUCGGGAGGAACACCAGUGGCGAAAGCGGCACCCUGGCAUCGGCCUGACGCUCAUGUGCGAAGGCGUGGGGAGCGAACGGGAUUAGAUACCCCGGUAGUCCACGGCGGUAAACGAUGAGCACGUGGGUCGUGGGGAGUCGUAAAGCUGUCCGUGCCGAAGCCAACGCGUUAAG
rnacentral:rRNA from 1 species